UACGUAGGGGGCAAGCGUUGUCCGGAUUUAUUGGGCGUAAAGAGCGUGUAGGCGGCCAGGUAGGUCUGCUGUGAAAACUCGAGGCUUAACCUCGAGCUGUCGGCGGAAACCAUCUGGCUAGAGUCCGGAAGAGGAGAAUGGAAUUCCCGGUGUAGCGGUGAAAUGCGCAGAUAUCGGGAAGAACACCCGUGGCGAAGGCGGUUCUCUGGGACGGUACUGACGCUGAGACGCGAAAGCGUGGGGAGCGAACAGGAUUAAGAA
rnacentral:rRNA from 1 species